CUAAGUUGCUUUGGCAAUUUUGGGACAAUGUGUGCCUGAGAAAGUAGAGUAGACUUUUUGGUGUCGCACAGUGGCCUCUGGCAAGGACAGACAUAGUUGGCCUUGUGGCACAGUAGGCAGGGAAGUAAGGACAUGACACGCUUCCUUCCUUACAGCCCAUUCAGGGUGCAACUCCAGCAACGCAGAGAACUAAGGAGCUGCAGUUAGACGCACACGAGCUGAUCAGUGCUUGGUUAUGUACUCGCUCAUCUACUUCUUCACAAAACCAACUGUAAAUUGAUGUGCAGAAGGUAAAAUUUACAAGAGAUGUAUUUCUAUACAUGGAGCUUGUGCAGCCAUAAACAUCGUCGAUUGUGAAGGAAUGCCUUCAGUAGGACCAGUGAAAAACCAUACACUACAACCAACCAACCACAACAACCAACUGGCCACCAAAAGAAUUGCCAGCAGAGCAGUAAUGAUGGGAUGUACGCACAAAAAGUCUUUUCCUGGCUUAUUUGUCAAUCAAUGAAGGUAGAUACUGCAGCCUUCUCUAUAAGGAGGCAAAUUAUGCUUCUUCAUAGACUUCAUAUCCUUGCC
rnacentral:lncRNA from 1 species